CCUGAGUUUCCUCCCCCAGUCCAAAGACAUGCAUGGUAGACCAUAGUGUAUGAGUACCCAUUCACAUGUUGGCAAUUAUUAUUAUUAUUAUUUAAAUUAAAUAGCAAUAGAAGAUCACAUGGCAAAGAUAAGACAGAAGACGAUAGAUGUUGCAGGGCAAGAUUGAAAUCUUCCACCAUUGUCAAAUUUGAUCAGUGCAGAAUUCACCAGACGUGUCGAUGGACCUGAGCAAGUCCUUUUAUGAGGGUCUUGACAAACAUGUCACAAAGCUGCUGUAUUUGUACCGCUCGAGGCACUAUGCAGACAUCGCAGAAAUGAGUGCCAUACUGGAGAGCCUGGAUAAAAAUGCAUCAAAUCAACAGAAGAGGGUUGCAGUACUGCUGGGGCUGCCAUUGUACAUGUGGGAGAAUCCAUCUCAGUUCUUACAGAUCUGUGAGCACACAGAUUCUGAAGAAGAUUUAAUCAAGGGC